rnacentral:rRNA from 1 species
CGAGUGGCGGACGGGUGAGUAAUGUCUGGGAAACUGCCUGAUGGAGGGGGAUAACUACUGGAAACGGUAGCUAAUACCGCAUAACGUCGCAAGACCAAAGAGGGGGGCCUUCGGGCCUCUUGCCGUCGGAUGUGCCCAGAUGGGAUUAGCUAGUAGGUGGGGUAACGGCUCACCUAGGCGACGAUCCCUAGCUGGUCUGAGAGGAUGACCAGCCACACUGGAACUGAGACACGGUCCAGACUCCUACGGGAGGCAGCAUG